rnacentral:rRNA from 1 species
CACGUAGGGGGCAAGCGUUGUCCGGAUUUAUUGGGCGUAAAGGGCUCGUAGGCUGUUCAGUAAGUCAGGUGUGAAAACCCAAGGCUCAACCUUGGGACGCCACUUGAUACUGCUGUGACUAGAGUCCGGUAGAGGAGAUUGGAAUUCCUGGUGUAGCGGUGAAAUGCGCAGAUAUCAGGAGGAACACCAACGGCGAAGGC